CAGAGCGUGGUUACGGCUCUGCGCACGCGCGUCGGGCCGGCCUACUGGGCAUUGCUGAUCUUAGUGAGAGAAAGGGUCACAGCCACAGCUCCGGCCCAGUCCCCCCGCCCCAGGCCACGGGCCUGGGUCACGUGACACGAAGGGCGCCGAAUUCCUCUGGAGUCAGCGCCAUUUCCCGCAGGUGCCGCGUCAUGGAGACCUUCGCGGCCGCCGCCACUGCUGGGAACUUCUUCCCCUUAUUCCUGUUCUUGGUCUGCGGGACGCUAGUAGCCGCUCUGCUGGGCGCUGCGCACCGCCUGGGGCUCUUCUAUCAGUUGAUGCACAAGGUGGACAAGGCAAGCAUUCAGCACGGCGGGGAGAACGUGGCAGCUGUGCUGAGGGCCCAUGGCGUGCGGCUCCUCUUCACACUGGUCGGUGGGCACAUUUCCCCGCUGCUGGUGGCCUGCGAGAAGCUGGGCAUCCGUGUGGUGGACACACGCCACGAAGUCACAGCUGUCUUUGCCGCCGAUGCCGUGGCCCGCCUAACCGGGACGGUGGGCGUGGCCGCAGUGACAGCAGGCCCUGGCCUCACCAACACGGUGACUGCAGUGAAGAACACCCAGAUAGCUCAGUCCCCAGUCCUGCUUCUGGGUGGGGCUGCCAGCAUGCUCCUACAGAACCGGGGUGCACUCCAGGCCAUUGAUCAGAUGUCCCUGUUUAGGCCACUGUGCAAAUUUUGUGCUUCUGUGCGGAGGGUGCGAGACAUCGUGCCCACUCUGAGGGCUGCGAUGGCUGCUGCCCAGUCGGGCACCCCAGGCCCAGUGUUUGUGGAGCUGCCCAUUGAUGUGCUGUACCCCUACUUCAUGGUCCAGAAGGAGGUGGUGCCAGCCAAUCCGCCCAAGGGCCUCAUGGGUCGACUGGUCUCCUGGUACUUAGAGAAUUACCUGGCCAACCUCUUUGCAGGAGCCUGGGAGCCUCAGCCUGAGGGCCCUCUGCCUCUGGACAUUCCCCAGGCAUCCUCCCAGCAGGUUCAGCGCUGUAUGGAAAUCUUGAGCCGAGCCAAAAGGCCGCUGAUUGUGCUGGGGAGCCAGGCUCUGCUGCCCCCGACACCUGCUGACAAACUUCGGGCUGCUGUGGAGACCCUUGGCAUCCCUUGCUUCCUGGGAGGGAUGGCACGAGGACUGCUGGGCCGCAACCACCCCCUCCACAUCCGGCAGAACCGUAGCGCUGCCCUGAAGAAAGCAGACGUUGUCCUUCUGGCAGGGGUUUGGCCAACCGUGUACUUUGAAGUCUAGGCAAACUCUCGCAAGGUUGCUGCUGUGUUGUAGGACUCAGCUUCGCACAGAGGAGGAUGCACGGAUAGAGGGCACCUGCAGUAUUUAUGUUCUGCAUUUGCGUUUGUAUGCUUCAUACAGGAUUUCUAUAGCACAGACACGUAUGGCAUGUACAUUUUCAUGUGAAGUAUUUGGAGUCCUGCCCAACACGUAAUAGUUGUAUCAGUUCUCUGUUGUGUAAUAACCAUCCCUAAAUUCAGUGACUUGAACUUAUCAUUUCUUAAGGUCCACCUAGAGGUUAGGUGGUAGUUUUUCUGGUUUUGAUGGGGCUCAUUCAUGAGUCCGUAGGUGGAGAGGCAGGAAGGCAUCUGGGCUGAUCUGGGCUGGGCUGGCGCAUGUACUUGGCCUUGGCUGACUACAGGUUAGGCUGACAUGACCUUUGCAGGGAUAACUGAGUUCUUUCACUCUUCCCUACCUCUUCCUCCAGCUUUCUUAUCAUCCAGCAGGCUAGCCUGGGCUUGCUCACUUGGUGGAGGAUGAGAAACAUGCAGGGAUGGGAGAGCAAGGUUUUUAAGAGAGAGACAGUAGAAGCCACAAUUCUUGAAGCUUGAUCUCGGGAACGCCUGCCUUCACCUGCCACACUCUGUUGGAGCCGUGUGUGACUUCCGUCUGUCUUAUGGCCGUGUCCUCAGCCGCAGCAGCAAGAUCAUCAUUGUCAACCGUAACCGGAAAGAGAUGUUGC